GAUGAACGCUAGCGGCAGGCUUAAUACAUGCAAGUCAAGGGGGUAGCAAUACAACCGGCGCACGGGUGAGUAACGCGUACACAACAUACCAUAUACUGGAGUAUAGCUUUGGGAAACUGAAGGUAAUCCUCCAUAACAUUGCGAGAGGGCAUCUGAUUGCAAUUAAAGUUUCGGCGGUAUAUGAUUGGUGUGCGUUUGAUUAGCUAGUUGGUAGGGUAACGGCCUACCAAGGCGACGAUCAAUAGCUGGCGUGAGAGCGCGACCAGCCACACUGGAACUGAGACACGGUCCAGACUCCUACGGGAGGCAGCAGUAGGGAAUAUUGGACAAUGGAGGAAACUCUGAUCCAGCCAUGCCGCGUGAUAGAUGAAGGCCCUCUGGGUUGUAAAUAUCUUUUAUCUGGGAAGAAACUCCUCUAUUCUUAGAGGCCUGACGGUACCAGAGGAAUAAGCACCGGCUAACUCCGUGCCAGCAGCCGCGGUAA
rnacentral:rRNA from 1 species